AGUAGGGAAUCUUCCACAAUGGACGCAAGUCUGAUGGAGCAACGCCGCGUGAGUGAAGAAGGCUUUCGGGUCGUAAAACUCUGUUGUUGGAGAAGAAUGGUCGGCAGAGUAACUGUUGUCGGCGUGACGGUAUCCAACCAGAAAGCCACGGCUAACUACGUGCCAGCAGCCGCGGUAAUACGUAGGUGGCAAGCGUUAUCCGGAUUUAUUGGGCGUAAAGCGAGCGCAGGCGGUUUUUUAAGUCUGAUGUGAAAGCCCUCGGCUUAACCGAGGAAGCGCAUCGGAAACUGGGAAACUUGAGUGCAGAAGAGGACAGUGGAACUCCAUGUGUAGCGGUGAAAUGCGUAGAUAUAUGGAAGAACACCAGUGGCGAAGGCGGCUGUCUGGUCUGUAACUGACGCUGAGGCUCGAAAGCAUGGGUAGCGAACAGGAUUA
rnacentral:rRNA from 1 species